rnacentral:rRNA from 1 species
GCGAACGCUGGCGGCAGGCCUAAUACAUGCAAGUCGAGCGGUCCCUUCGGGGGCAGCGGCGGACGGGUGAGUAACGCGUGGGAACGUGCCCUUUGGUACGGAACAACUGAGGGAAACUUCAGCUAAUACCGUAUGUGCCCUACGGGGGAAAGAUUUAUCGCCAUUGGAGCGGCCCGCGUUAGAUUAGCUAGUUGGUAGGGUAAUGGCCUACCAAGGCGACGAUCUAUAGCUGGUCUGAGAGGAUGAUCAGCCACACUGGGACUGAGACACGGCCCAGACUCCUACGGGAGGCAGCAGUAGGGAAUCUUGCGCAAUGGGCGAAAGCCUGACGCAGCCAUGCCGCGUGAAUGAUGAAGGUCUUAGGAUUGUAAAAUUCUUUCACCGGGGACGAUAAUGACGGUACCCGGAGAAGAAGCCCCGGCUAACUUCGUGCCAGCAGCCGCAGUAAGAC